ensembl:snoRNA
ACCCUUCUGUCAUUCACAAGCAUGGUGUCUGGGUUUUUAUGCUAUUAGGUGAGAUGCACCUCCUUCAAAUCUUGGUAUGAUGGCAGCGCUUCACCCAUCUGAUG